GGUUUUUUGUUUUCUUUAACAAGAGGCAGCGGAAUACCAAAGGCCCAACUCCAGAAGGCUCGGAUCUGUGUCUCCCUAUGACCUUGAACAAAUCGUUCGCCUCUCAGUCCGCCUAGGUCCCGCACCUGCCAGCCUUUAGGGCGCGCAGAGGCCCUCUAGCGCCCACCCGGUCCCCGGCCGUACGGCCCCGCGGCCUCUAGAGGGCACCACAUCCUCAUCCCAGGCACGGGCCGCGUGCGCUCGCUCGUCCAGCGGCCCGCAGCGUCUCGCGGCUGGAGUCGCUCCCGGGGACUUCCGGUGCCCUGCGCCGUAGUUCUCCAGGUGGACCGUAGAUGCCGGCAGAACCAAGACUCACUAGUCACAUUUAGAAGGCCGAGUUUUAACAACUGCUUUCAAACCAACCGAACACCGUACUUCAGUAUUUAGCUGAAGAUUAAGAUACUACAAAAAAAGUACUUGCUGUGGACUACUAAGAAAUGGGAUUCCCCACAUUUUACUAGGCCUGAAAGUUGGCCCUUUAGCUUACUGGUGCACCUUGGAAGAUGGCGUCUUCAGCUGAAGUGUGGUACGUUCUUGCUAAUGUUGAUGGAGCACAAGAGGACCUCUGGUUUUCAGAGGACAGUUAAAAGCACUCCCACUGUGCUCCGUGGAGUCUUGUACAUUUAAAUGAAAUACCUUUAAAAUAAGUGAUUUUUACAUGGGUGUGAAACUUGCUCUAUAGAUGAAAGUUUGUGUGGCCGAAGGAAUUUCCUGAGACUUUGUAUCCCUAAAGCAAACGAGUUAGUAAAACCGCUUACAUAAUCCCCAGCUUUGAACUUUUGAGGCAGAGCGAUCAU